UAGAAGUUUACUUCGGUACAUCGGUGACAGGUGGUGCAUGGUUGUCGUCAGCUCGUGUCGUGAGAUUGUUGGGUUUAAGUCCCGCAACGAGCGCAACCCUUGUCCUUAGUUGCCAGCAUUAAGUUGGGCACUCUAAGGAGACUGCCGGUGUUAAACCGGAGGAAGGUGGGGAUGACGUCAAGUCCUCAUGGCCCUUAUGUCCAGGGCUACACACGUGCUACAAUGGCCGGUACAAAGGGCUGCAAUACCGCAAGGUGGAGCGAACCCCAAAAAGCCGGUCUCAGUUCGGAUUGGAGUCUGCAACUCGACUCCAUGAAGUUGGAAUCGCUAGUAAUCGCGGAUCAGCAUGCCGCGGUGAAUACGUUCCCGGGCCUU
rnacentral:rRNA from 1 species